rnacentral:rRNA from 1 species
GACGAACGCUGGCGGCGUGCUUAACACAUGCAAGUCGAACGGAAAGGCCCUGCUUUUGUGGGGUGCUCGAGUGGCGAACGGGUGAGUAACACGUGAGUAACCUGCCCUUGACUUUGGGAUAACUUCAGGAAACUGGGGCUACUACCGGAUAGGAGCUCCUGCUGCAUGGUGGGGGUUGGAAAGUUUCGGCGGUUGGGGAUGGACUCGCGGCUUAUCAGCUUGUUGGUGGGGUAGUGGCUUACCAAGGCUUUGACGGGUAGCCGGCCUGAGAGGGUGACCGGCCACAUUGGGACUGAGAGACGGACCAGACUCCUACGGGAGGCAGCAGUGGGGAAUAUUGCACAAUGGGCGGAAGCCUGAUGCAGCAACGCCGCGUGCGGGAUGACGGCCUUCGGGUUGUAAACCGCUUUCGCCUGUGACGAAGCGUGAGUGACGGUAAUGGGUAAAGAAGCACCGGCUAACUACGUG